rnacentral:rRNA from 1 species
GGCGGACGGGUGAGGAAUACAUCGGAAUCUACUCUGUCGUGGGGGAUAACGUAGGGAAACUUACGCUAAUACCGCAUACGACCUACGGGUGAAAGCAGGGAUCUUCGGACCUUGCGCGAUUGAAUGAGCCGAUGUCGGAUUAGCUAGUUGGCGGGGUAAAGGCCCACCAAGGCGACGAUCCGUAGCUGGUCUGAGAGGAUGAUCAGCCACACUGGAACUGAGACACGGUCCAGACUCCUACGGGAGGCAGCAGCC